rnacentral:lncRNA from 1 species
GCACUGGAUUACAAAGGAUCACCCCAAGGGACUCAUCCUCCUUAGAACUACAGAAACCUUGCUUCAAGCUGGCAGCUACCCACAUCAAUGCUCUCUUCCUUGAUGGAUACUAUGAGUGAAUGCCUAGUGAGGAGGAGAAAAUGAGAAGGCAUACCAGGGAGACAAUGUGCUCCUUAACUAGACAGGAAAAGGUUUCUAAGAUUUCUUCCUCAAAGAAAUAGACAAUGAGAACCAAGGACAAUGAAGUCUGUGAUGGGGAUUCUUGGGCUCAAAAACUUCAGAUCUACCUGAGUACAGGGUAUAGAUUUUUUUCCUCCUCACUCACUGAAUAUGGAGUCUCCACACAGAGACUCCAGGCUCAGGCUCAGACUACCUGGCUUUAAAUCUUGGCUUUACUGUUAAUUUGCUGUUUGACUUUGAACAGGUCAUGUAAUCUCUCUGUGCUUCGGAUUCCUCAUGUGUAAAGUUGAAACAAUAAUAAUCUCAAUUUUAUAGGGUUAUUGUAUUAAAUAAAUGAAUACCUCCAUGUCACUUUGAAAUGCUUGGCACGUAGUGUUUAAUAAAUAUUAGCAAGUACUGUUACAUUAGCUAAGAAUUGACAUUUUACAAUCUCAUUUUUUUUCUUUCAAUGUGUUCCUCUGGAUAUGGGAAGAAAUGUACAUAGAUAAUUUUAGCCAGGUUUCAAAACAUGUGUAUGGUCAUUAGUUUUCCUAUUAGGGUACUGCAGGAUAGAAAUUUAAAGAGCUUGAUUUGGGAUGGUUUAAAUAUAUUCAUUUAAUAUUAGAGUUGGAAGAGACUCUAAUCUCUCGCCUCUCUCUCUAUCAUUCAGUCAGUCCCUCCACUAUUCCAAUGAGGACAUGAAAAAUGGACUUAAUCAGAGACUUUUGUCUUUAAGAACUUCAUAUAUAGUCUUAAACUUUAUGUAACAUAGAAUACACAUAUGGGUUUAUUAAAAUACUUAAUGUACAAAUUUUCAUUUGUAAAGUUUACCCUUGGUAGUUAAUCAGUCCCAUGAGUUUUGAAAAAAGCACACACAGCUGUGAAAGCACCACUACAACCAAGAAGAAAAUUUGCUGUUACCUCAGAAAUUUUCUGUUAUUCCUCCUUUGUGCAUUUGAAUUUGGAUAUACAUAUAAGCUUUUGACCCUCAGACAGAAUUAUACAUUUUUAGAAGAAGUGUAUGGAUGCAGUUAGAGAUAUAGAUAUGCAGAUACGUUAUAGAUACAUGCAUUUAGCAGAAUGGAGACUCAACUCCUUUGACCCAAUCCUCAGCUACUGUUGGAAAUGAAUCUGACAAGUAUCCAUGAGAACGCAGGCUUGAUCCCCGGCCUCACUCCUUGGGUUAAGGAUCUGGCAUUAUUAUGAGCUGUGGUGUAGGUCGCAGACGCGGCCUGAAUCCUGUGUUGCUGUGGCGUAGGCUGUCAGCUACAGCUUGGAUUCGACCCCUAGCCUGGGAACCUCCGUAUGCCACAGGUGUGGCCCUAAAAAGCAAAUAAAUAAAUAAAUAAAUAAAUAAACUUAGUCCCUCAGAAAGAGAAAUGGAUCUCAAUUUUUUUCAAGUUUUUCUAUAAAGUGUCUGAUUAGUUUGUAGUUGUUCAAAAGUGAUACAUGUUUGUUUUGUUUUGUUUUGUUUUGCUUUUUUUAAGGCUGUACCUGCAGCAUAUGGAGGUUGCCAGGCUAGGGGUUGAAUUGGAGCUGUAGCCGCCGGCCUACGCCACAGCCACAGCAACUCGGGAUCUGAACCACGUCUGCCACCUACACCACAGCUCACGGCAAUGCUGGAUCCUUAACCCACUGAGUGAGGCCAGGGAUCGAACCUACAACCUCAUGGUUCCUAGUCAGAUUUGUUUCCCCUGUGCCACGACGGGAACUCCUGUGAAUUUGUUUUUUUAAGAAAUUUGAUCUCUGAAUGGAACUGAGACUUUACAAGACAAAGUGAGGGUAGUAGAGUCCAGAGAUCAUGGGCUGAGAACCUAAAGGACCAUCUUCUUGUCCAGUGUCGUCAUUGCUGAGCCCUUCUAGGCCUCCCUAGACAUAGCUCAGAAUAAUCAGGGGGAGGACUUUUGAGUUCUUCACAGAAUGUGUUGUUGGUAAGAUUUAAAUGUUGGUGUAGAUUUCAAGAUACUAUUUUCAAUAUCUUUUCAAGCACCCCAGAGAUUUGCUUGGAGAAAUACAAUAGGGAACUGAUAUAUUAUAAUUUACCAUUCCAUUGAACAUCUUGAUAUCUUUCCAAAAUCAUUAACCUUAAAACCAUUUAAUUAGGUCCAUAAAAUAAACGGUUCCCAUUUUCUCUGAAUCUCUUAUGUAUCGAUCCUUCUGUAUUUAGUACCUACCAACAGUUCUACAAUAUUCCAAGUUGCCACUUUCCUACCUGCAGGAACAUCUUGAGAUCACUUUUCUCCAUCCAGACACACAGAACCUUCUUAGACUUCAAGGGUUGAUAAAUCAGAGACAAGCAUGACUUGUUCUCUUUGGUUUUUGUAUAUGCCUGAUAGUAUUUUUGAACAUUUGUCUGCAUUCUCUUUUUGGAAACCAGUAUCUAGUCUUCAGUAGCUCUGAUCCAUUAAGCUUCUUGAAGAUGUCUCUAGUUGGUAGAACAAAAAACUUGUUUUAUCGGCCUAUAGUAAGCUACCAAUGACAGAAGCAGCCAGUUUAUUAUCUUUUCUUCAUUAACAGAUGUCAGAGUAAUUGAUGAGGACUUUUUUUCAACCUCUGGUAUAAUUUUUAAAUGGAUUGAUUCUGGAGCAUUUCAGUUCAUUUACUAACAAUAUCUUAAGGAGUAGAAUGUGACUGUAAUCAAUUUUCAUUAUCAUUGUGUAGCUAAUAGGGCUAAAAAUAAGAACUCUUAAUUUUCUAUGGCAUGAUUAAUUAUCUAAGAAGAAUAUGGAAAUAACGUCUUUUAAUAUGCCUGGAGAGUUACAUUAGACCUUAAAAUUUUUCAUCCUCAAAACAUAUCACUUCCUGUAAUUUUCUAUUCACUAAUAAAACAACUCAGAUCUUACAGUAUUACCUUUCUCUGGCUCUUAAUUUCAAUAGGUGAUCUCCAGUUGCAACUUUCAUAUUCAGUGUUGCCCUACAUACAACCUCAUGGCCAGUGCUUUCUUUUUCAUACGUUCUCGCCAUCCUUGUUUCUUUUCUAAUAAUUCUUUGAAGCCAUGCUAGAUUUGGAAGACCUAAAGCAGCUUCUAGAGUCCUGACUCUGCUUAUACGCAUUCCCUCUAGACCAAAAGGAGGCCAUCUGGAGGAUGAGAUUUAUCAUGGAGUCCCCAAGAUGAUGUGGUAAAGACAGAAAUUUGGAGACCAUAAGGCCUCCUGACCAAAGUACUAGGCCAGGAAUAUGGAGCCAUGCACUCUAGUCCUAACUCUCUUCGGUCAUCUUGGCCAACUCUUACUCUUUGGUGCUUCAGCUUCCUUGUCUAUAAAAUGAAUAAUAAUGCCUAUUCUGUCUCACAGGGUUGUUUUCAAAUGAAAAUUUAGUUGCCCUUUAUUCCUGCCAAAUAGUUACUGACAUCUACACAUAUCUGGCCCUUCGGGAUAUGUUGAAGCAUUUAAUCCUCAUAGUACCUCUGUGGAAUACUUAAAGUGCUAUGACCUUUAACAGACAAGAGACUGAUGUUAGAAUUAAAUUGACUUAAGUAAGCAAGUCAUAGAGACAGGAUUUAAACUGAAGACUAUCUGAUUCUAGGGCACUUUCCUCAAUAGAGUAUUUCUCAAGUCUAAAGAGGUUUCUAUUUCCUGGCCUGGUCUGUUUAAAAGACGUGAUGUACCCAAAGGCAGAGCUAAAGGAACAAGAAUUGGAGAAAGUCCCAAAAUGGGUAAAUUGAUGGCUUUCUCCCUCUUUAGAAAUCGAUGUUUCUUAUGGCCUUCAAACUGUCCGGGAAACUUCCAUUAUGGGAAAGGGUGGCUCUCAAUAGAACACUUUUGUCAUUCUCCCCUUUGAUUUUAAAUCACUGCUAUACAAAGAGAAUUUCUUACCACUUCAUUAACCAGCCUCAAUCAUUUUUAACUCUACUAAGGGCAGGAAACUCUAAGCCAGGGAAGGGGUGGGGGUCCCAACCUGAAGACAUAUAUGCAGCUAUGAUAAGAAGUCCAUUUGGGCACUAAAAUGAUAAAAUGCCUCAUCCCUCUAGAUACUAUUUUAAAAAAAUAUAUAGAAGCAAUAGUGGAGAACAAAAGGAAAAUUCAUUUAAGAACAUCACUAAAUUCACAAGGCAGUAGAAGCUCUCUUAAUUAACCUCCAUUUUACCAACCUACUGUACUAACUGCUCCCUCUGUAAAGUAUCCUGAUUGAUGCUCACAGCAGCCUGAACACUUGAGGUCAACAGGCUAUUCCCUAGCAUCCUGCAUUUUUCUGCUGCCAUCAGUGAAGAUGUUAGCUUCCCAAGUGUCCCUUGUUGUAUUCUUUCUCAAAGAUGUUUAUGGUAAUCACAAAAUUCAGUUACAAUGCAAGAAGAGAGCUGUUGUUUCUAUGAAAAUUCAGUUGAAUGCUUUGGAAAGAUUCAAUAAAGGCAAGUCACUAAAAAAGAAAUUGCUGCAGAAUGAUUUAGGGCCACUGAGAAAGGCUCUCUGGGUUGUCACUGCACAGUUCUGAGGAACACUCUGGAUGAUGCCCCCUUGAGUUUUAUAGGGUAAAACUUCAAGGCAGUGCACCGAGCCAUUGCAUUGGGAGUAAAAUGACUGUAAAAGUUUGGAAAGAAAAGCACUAGUAUCUUCAAGAAGUCUCUAUUCAAAAUUCUCUGGAAAUCUUCUUACAUUCUUAUUCUCCUUUAUAUAAACCCAAAAGGGAAAUUAUAGUCAGUGCAUUACAGAUAUGGUGAAUGUAAAAAAAAGAGACUCCCAGAGAAGACCCAAGACCUUGGCUUUGACCCUACAUCAAGAUUGGUAUAUGAAUAUAUAUACAUGUUUUCUAGUUAAAAUAGAAUGUUUAACGUAUCCUAUUUUACAAUUCUCUGACUUAACUGGCUUUUUUGAUUAACACAUGAACUACUAAUCCUUGGGGACUCUGGCCUUUGCUUGCUUUAUGUAUUUUCAACCAGCCGAUAUUCCAUGUAUACUCCAAGUAUAGCCAUGAUCUUGUCAUGAAGAGUGGUCUCUGGAAAGUUUUGAAGUUUGUUUUGGAGGCACUUAGCUAUUUCUUAACAGCACAGGGCUAGGUAAUACUGUUAUUGUCAGAUAGUGGACCUAGAUUCCUACAAACAUUCUUAUCAGUUUCUGCGAAUGCCACACUCUCCCUAAACAGCCCACACCACUGUUGUUUCAAGAGCUCCAAGUCACUAGCAGACUCUGCAUUCUCCAUAAUUACACCCAAUUUUCCAAUUGAAUUAUCACAUGAUUUAAUUCGUUGGCUGCAUCUGGAGAGCAUCAGCAUUGUGCAGCUGUUGCAGCUUCAAGAGCUAAUUGUUGCUAAGCACAUUAAAAGUAGCCCUAUUGCAGUGCACUGGAGUCAGAAAGGGAGGGGUACAAACUUUCAUUUCCCAUUUUCUCUUUGGUUGAAUCAUCACCCAAAGAGCCUGAGGGGUAGAAAACAUUUUAGCCCUGUUAACAUGGAGACCUCACCGAGUAUGGUUACUGUCACUGGAUGAAAGCUCUUAAGUGAGUCAGACAUAUCCAGAUACCAAAUACACAGGGACCUGAGUCAUGACAAAUAAGAUUAGGAUAGAAAUUAAGGGCUCUGUUAAAGGGGAGGCAGUGCAUCAUUGAAAAAGGAAGCCAAUUGUUGGUGAGGCACCAGGAUAUCUGAAGACCCCCAAAUCUUAGUUCCAAUAAGAAGUUACCGUAGGAGUUCCCACUGUGGCUCAGCGGUAAGGUGUCCAACUAGUAUCCAUGAGGACGUGGGUUCUAUCCCUGGCCCCACUCAGUGUUAGAGAUCUGGUGUUGCUGUGGCUGUGGUUUAGGCCAGUAUCUGCACCUCUGAUUCAACCCUUGGCCUUGGAAUUUCCAUAUGCCAUGGGUGUGGCCCU